UACAGAGGUCUCAAGCGUUGUUCGGAUUCAUUGGGCGUAAAGGGUGCGUAGGCGGCGCGGUAAGUACGGGUGUGAAAUCUCGGAGCUUAACUCCGAAACUGCAUUCGAUACUGCCGUGCUUGAGGACUGGAGAGGAGACUGGAAUUUACGGUGUAGCGGUGAAAUGCGUAGAUAUCGAUAAGGAAGACCAGUGGCGAAGGCGGGUCUCUGGACAGUUCCGUGACGCUGAGGCAACGAAGGCCAGGGGAGCAAACGGG
rnacentral:rRNA from 1 species